GGUCUAUGAAAAACUUAGGUCUUGUAAGGUGGUGACCUUACAAGGUACUAGCCCUGGGCUGCCUACCUCCAGACUUUUUAUUAUGUGAGAAAAAUAAAUCUCUAAGUUACUUGUUAAGUUAAAUGCCUGUUUAAGUUAUUUGGUUAGGUUUUUUUUUUUUAAUUUCAUACCCCAAAUCAUUCCUAAAUUAUAUGCAUAUGGCCUCUUCUCAGCCCUCAAAUGAAUUUGACUUCUUACAGUUUUAGACGCCUCAGUGCUUUCAAGGCUCUACUCAGCUCUCUGCAGGUGAGGCCUCGUUCCUAUUUUACGAAAUGGGACCGUGAAACACACACGUGAUUUUGCCACCCACAAGACACCAUGAGCAUUUUGUAAAAUAAAACCAACACCGGUAAUAAUGUUGCAUGAUUCCACCGGACCUCAUCUCCUUCCUCAUUUUUUACCCACUUCCCAGAGGCCACAGCUUUCGUGAGAUGUAUGUGUUGCUUUCCAGGUCUUUCAAAACAUUUUAUAUAUAAAUUUACAUACAAUGAAGUAUUUGUGUGAGUGCAUACAAUUAUUUAAUCUACAAAUAGGGAUGAUUUCAUCUCAUUUUGGCUAAUACUUAUCCCCCCUUUUUUUUUCUCUUAUUGCAUUAAUUAAUUAGAUCACCAAUGCAAUCUUAAUUAGUAGAAAUAUGGCAAGCAGUCUGGCCUUAAAACCAACUCUACUGGCAAUACUUCUGAUAUUUUGACAUAAAGAUGAUGCAGCGUAUAAGUCUUAUCAAGCUAGGGAAGUUUCUUUUUAUUCCUAUUUGCUAAGAGGUUUUUUUGGUUUUUUUGUUUUGUUUUGUUUUGUUUUGUUUUGUUUUGUUUUUCCCAGUCAUGAAUGGGUAUUGAAUUUUACUAAGCCCACUCGGUAAAUAUUUCAUUUCAGUUAUGGUACAUUGUACAUUUAUUUGAUAAUAAUGGCUACUGUCAAUAUUUUAUAAAACUAUUUCCUUAAACAUGUAAUGUUUUCGAUCAUGACAUUUUAGAGUUUUUAACGCUUGAUAAGCAUUUGUUAAAGCAUUUAAAUUUUAGAUUGCCAUCACUUGGCUGAUUUGGCAAUUGGUCUCCAAGACUCGUUCUGAAGGAAGGCGACGGCCACGUCAUGAGAAUAUUCAAGCAACCCUCUGUGGAGGCCCAUGUGAAGAGGCCACUUCUCAGCCAGUGACCUCCAGAGCUGUGAAGAAGGCGACCUGCUGUUUCAGACGCUCGGUCUGUGCUCCUUCUUUAUAGCAGCCCUAGCAAUCUCAUCUAGUGAGCCACCUUCGAAAUGGACGCUCGGUCCCAGUCCAGCCUUCGGAUGACUGUGACUCAUGAGACACCUGGAGCCAGAACCGUCCAGCUAAGCUCCCCCGAAACUCCGGACCCACACAGUGUGAAUUAAUAAAGGUUUGUUCUUGUUUUAAGUCA